AGCGCGCGACAUUGUGCCGAAAGCACUAUAUCCUCUCGCACUGCCUAGCUUAUUUCGUUCCCCCUUCGCGAGUGACAACCCUCCCCCAUUUUCAAAUUAAACAUAUUUAAGACGGGGGAACAUAAUUUUUCUUUUUCGGCUGCUAAAAAAAUUUCACUAAAAAAAUAAGUCUUGCAACAAAAAUUUAUUUGUGGAAAAAACAACAGCUCAGGUUUUCAAAAACUGUUUUAUUUUUGUUGAAAAGUCUGUAAAAAGUCCCCGCAAUAUAUGUAAUAACAAAGUCCCAUGUGUCGUGUGCAGUGCUAAACUGUUGAUUGUGGCUAGAGUGUGUAGAGUGCACUUGAGACUCGUGAGAAUUAUUUUCAAUGGAAUCUUGAUAAUGAAAGAUCCUUGAGAUAUACAGGAGAUAUUUUAUAAAGAAGAAAUUAUUUGAGAAAAGAAACUUGUGCUCGAAAAAAGAGAUUCUCGGAAGGAUGUUCAGGUAGCUUCUCAAGUAUGCACAAGGUUGUGUCAAGGAUACAGCGACUUUUGCGAAGGACUAGAAGAAGAGCCUCCUGAAGAACUAUAAAAUUAUAUGAAUUAAUUUUCUUCAAGAUAUGAAAAGUGUUUCUUAAAGAAGAUUACCCUAGUGGCGUCCAGGAACUGUUCUCCUUAGUGGGCUGUGAACUGAUCUUCCUGAUGGUCCUAACAAAGAUUAUUCUGAAGAUCCCAAAAAUAGAGUUACAGAGAAAGAUUAUCCUACAGGUCCAGAAAUAGAUUUUUGCAAGAUCCAUUAAGAACAUUAUUCUUUAGAUUCAGUACAAAAUCAUUUUACAGAUGCAGAGAAUGGUUCAAGUAAAUGAUCUUCUAUAAUAGGUAAAGUAACUAUUCUACCUGAAAGUGGAGAAAAAAAUCUAUUUGGAGGUUCUUCUUUACGGAGAUUGUUAUUGAACUUGAAAGCGAUCAUCAGCAAAAUCCAGGAAAAUAUCUUACUAAGAAUUUUGCAAAAAAUUAUCUCAAGAACUGAAAUUAAUGAAAAACAUCAUAAAAAUACCAUCAAAAGUAUCUUGAGAAAUCAAUUAUCCUGAAGAUUCGGAAAGAGAUCGUUUAAAAAUUAGAAUGUAAGAGCUUUCAAAAGGACAAUAAGUGGAAAAUCUAACAGGAACAGUGAGAAGUUGAAGGAUUCGAGGUCUUGCAGAGAAAAUAAGAUAUUUUGGAAGAAGAGAAAUUGCAUCGAUUCAAUAAAGUCAACUUGUGCUGGUAGAAUGUGUUGAAUUCGAGGACCAUAACAUUAGUGGUGAAAAAAAUAUAUUUCUGUGAGAUUGAGAGUAGUGUAUCGACAAUAGAGAAUGUUCAGCGGAAUCGGUGCACGGGUCAAGGAACGAAUGUUAGGAACGAAUGAAUUAUCGGAUGUUCGAGAAGCUCGAUGCAUUCGCAGGAAGCGCAUUGAAUUGAUUCGCUUUUUUUCGUUUUGUCCUACUUUCCGGUUACCUGAAAAGUCCUCCAUGUUGAAAUCCGGUCAUUGAGUUUUGCGAAAGAGCCGGGACGACGACGACUACGAGAAGAGGUACAGUUCCAAAGGCAAAAGCCACAACGUCCAUCUUGAAAAUAAAAUGUGCAGGAUAAUACGAUCUGCCUAAUUACCUCAAAGGACAAAGGAAAAGUGAAAGUUUUGGCCAAUAUAGACGAUGAACAAAAAGAGAUUUACUCCGUGGAGAUGACCGCCAGGUUAGCGCCGCGUCGAGACUGUCUCGACGACGACGUUGAUGAGGUUCCCGAGGGUCAUCACUCAGUCACUGCUUCCGCCCUCUGCCAUUGAGAGGAAGCUAAUUCCUCGUCGCAGUUCUCAGUGAUGCCGGCCGUUCCACACCAACAAGGACGAAGGCUUCCGAACGAGCGGAAUUAAUUGUGUAUCAAUAACAAAUCUCCUCGGCACUUUAGAAGUGCGACACUACUUUCUCCUACAAGUGUAAGAACUCGACUCAGAAGACAAAUUAGUCCAAAAUCAAAACGUGAGAUUUGCUUGCAUUUAACACAACAGUUUGAACAAUUUAUUGAAAUUCAACUUAUAGAGCAACGGUCAGACAAAACGUCGAAUAACAAAAUGUCAAACAGCAAAGACGACGAAUGGAUAAAAUGUCGAAUCUUUUUUUUGAGGUGAGUUAACUCUCUGUCUAAAAUGUCUAUAAA